GGUUAUCAGGGAUUGAUGAGUCCUCCUUCCUGUCACACUCUGACAUUAGUUAUGACAGAACGGAUGAUGAUUUGGACUUGGACAACACAGCGUUUGUUAAGCCUCUCAAGUCAAGAGCUCGUGAGAGAAGACGUUCAUCAAUGGGCCCAAGUGUUGGUCCUCUGAUUCAAAAACGAGGAAGAGUAAGCAGGCGUUC